AUAUCAAUAUUGCAUUCAAGGGUUGUGUUCCAGCUGGUGAGCCAUGGACAAAAUGGUGCUAGUGCUCUUCUUGUGUAUGCAGGUCAUCCUGCUCGUCACUGCGGUGAAUUUGACUGAUGCCACCAUUGGGUCGGUGGGCAUUCAGCAACGUGAUCAGGGAGCAGCUGCCUCAGCAAAAUCAUUUAUAACAAUCUUUCAGCUGUUAUUUGGGAGGGCUGGCGGAGCUUCAACACUGGCGCAAAUAGGAGACUCAAAGAAGUGAGGAAGGACAUGGCGAGAUGCAAGAAAAAUGGCUCCUGCUUUCUCCGCUCUGGUGUCUGAAGCCUUCAAUGAUGGUGCUGUCAUUUAAUGAAGGAUUGGAAGUUCUCAAAUAUGCUAUCCUGUGAAAUGUAAUUACAUGUGUUAUGCACUACUGAUUAAAGA